rnacentral:misc_RNA from 1 species
AAACCUCGAAACCGAGCAUCGACCUAGUUGGAGCCCAGUUCAGACUAUGGGAGUCUGCAGGCGAACCAUGUCUGCUCUCCUCAAAAGCAUUAGCCGUGGGCAAGGGCCUCGCAUGGCAUGGCCUCUUUGACGUCGUAAUGAUCGCUGUGGGCUGGAAGUGUGUCGCUCUAUAGACCCAUGCUUCCCUAGACUUGCAAGCCUGUUCAUAGGAACGGCCGUGCCGCAUCGAC